rnacentral:rRNA from 1 species
CUGCUGCCUUCCGUAGGAGUUUGGUCCGUGUCUCAGUACCAAUGUGGGGGACCUUCCUCUCAGAACCCCUAUCCAUCGUCGGUUUGGUGGGCCGUUACCCCGCCAACUGCCUAAUGGAACGCAUGCCUAUCUAUCAGCGAUGAAUCUUUAGCAAAUAUCCCCAUGCGGGGCCCCUGCUUCAUGCGGUAUUAGUCCGACUUUCGCCGGGUUAUCCCCCUCCUGAUAGGCAAGUUGCAUACGCGUUACUCACCCGUGCGCCGGUCCG